GUUGAGGUCUAUCCUGAGGGCUUUUUCUAUAGACCUAUAUCAUUAGAAACACCUCACAAAGUAAAGUGUUUGUUUCCUCUACUCAUAGAUCUAUGUGUUAAAUCUGUGAGAAAGAACUUUACAACACAG
ensembl:snoRNA